rnacentral:lncRNA from 1 species
CCGGAGAAGGUCACCUUCAAGACUGGCACUGGCCUCUCCGACAGCUUUGACGCCACUGCCUUUGCACUCGGGGAGUAAAUAUGGAUGCUGAGUUUUAUUAGUUUAUUUAAUCCUUACGAGGAUUACCUGCAAGGAUUGUCUUAAUCGUUAGUGCCAAGUUCAAUGGCUUGCGUGUAAGAUGUUACAGCUCCAUUGUCUUAAUCAAUAACAUCUGCUUGCAAUAAAAAACUGAUGAAGUGAAUACGAUUUUCCCCUUUAAAAAUAUUUAUACACAAUGAGGCUUAGAAAAUUAAAACAUGGCAGAGGGCCAUCGGCCAGUGGAAUGCAUUGUGCAACGGAUUUAUGAAGUCAUACAAGAGUGAACAGAAGCAGUUCAGCUGUGUAGGAAAGCUUCCCCGGCGGAGGCACCAUCACCCUGCCAGUGAACACAGUUGAUGUAGCUAGCUUGGGCCAAGUUUCAAAGUUCAAAUUUCAACAUUAGUGCUGCCUGUUAUCACUGUGUCCAGAAACUGUUGUCAGGUGCAUGAUCUUGUAAUAUUUCUUGAUGAAAUGAAAUGUUCAGAUAGGCUUACUCGGUCUACCGUUCAUUUGCAAAACAAAAAAGUUGUUUAUAUACUCCAUGGUUUAUCUGCAUACUAUUAUUAUAGCUCAACAUUUUGUUUUGCAAAAUUGGUUCAGUAACCUGAAAUGUGGUAAAUUAUUGUUGUGUAUGUCCUUUGCAAUCUGGUACUGUCUCAUUCGGUAAGGUAGAUACUUACAGCACCGUAAGAUGAUUUUGCAAUGACUUUGAUAUUCACAGAAGUCAUCGCAUGUGUGUAAUGUGAUUUAUGCAUCUGGUUUUGCUUUUAAAACCGGGUGUGACAACUUGUAUCUUGAAGUUUUAUUGCAAACUGAAUUCAGUUCAUAUGAAUGUUAUCCCUUAUUACAAAUGUCUCUCCAAAUCUUGCCUAUGUGGAUGUUGAGUUUUAUUAGUUUAUUAAUCCUUACGAGGAUUACGUGCAAGGAUUGUCUUAAUCGUUUGUGCCAAGUUCAAUGGCAUGCCUGUAAGAUGUUACUGGUCCAUUGUCCUACUUAAUCAAUAACAUCUGCUUGCAAUGGAAAACUGAUGAAGUGAAUACGAUUUUCUCCUCUUAAAAAUAUUUAUACACAAUGAGGCUUAUGAAAUUAAAACAUGGCAGAGGGGCAUGGGCUAGUGGAAUGCAUUGUGCAAUGGAUUUAUAAAGUCAAACAAGAGUGAACAGAAGCAUUCAGCUGUGUAGGAAACCUUCCUCGGCGGAUGCAAUCUGGUAGUGUCUCAUUCGAUAAACCUAGAAACUUACAGCACCGUAAGAUCAUUUUGCAACGAAGAAGGAUCGCAUCAUCAUAACUGGCUGUCUUCUAAUAUUCUAACAAUAUAAUUACAAUUCCAUAUGAUACAGCAUGGAGUUUUUCAUGGUCAUGUCUGAUAGGCUGGUUAUAGAUUCUUGACUCGGUCGUCGUGGUUUGCUAACUGUAAGACUUGUUUCGUCCAGACAAUGAAAUAGCUGUGCUUCUCUUGACUUGGUCAGUGACUUUGUGCGUCAGAGUAUGCUUGCUGGUAACAAAGUCAGCUGUGGCUACCCGUGCAGAUGUGCUAUUGCCUAUGAGGGUCAGGAGUCUAUUUCCUUGCUUUGCCUCUGAAUCAGAGUCACCAGAUUCCAGUCACUUUCCGAAUAACACUGGAACAGGCCUUGAGACCUCUAUAUAUACGUGCCUCUAUUGCAUCAAGUUUCAUCACAACAAGUUGAACUCUUUUGCAUAUAUAGGACACAAUAUAUUCCCAGGUCAGCAACCUUUGCUAGCAAUUAGCCAUACUCCAAUGGCAUCCCAAAUUGAGAGCCACCGCUCCAGUGCAGAGGUUGUCACUGGAGAUGCCAUCUGCAGGAAGAAGUCUGUCGAGCUGCUGGAAGAGCUCGGGCUCCCGAAGGGCCUCCUGCCAAUGGAGGACAUCCAGGAGUUUGGGUACAACCGCACCACGGGGUUCAUGUGGCUGGUUCAAGGGAAGAAGAAGGUCGAGCACACGUUCAAGAAGAUCAAACAGACCGUGUCCUACGCGGCUGAGGUGACGGCAUAUGCUGAGAAGGGCAAGCUGCGGAAGAUCACCGGCGUCAAGACCAAGGAGCUGAUGCUCUGGCUUAGUGUUGUUGAGGUCUAUGUUCCCGAGGCCUCGCCGGACAAGGUCACCUUCAAGACCGGCACUGGCCUCUCGGAUAGCUUUGAUGCCACUGCCUUCGCGCAUGGGGAGUAAACACGGAGUCAGUUGAUUAACUAGAAAUGAUGCCGGUUCCAUAAUCGUACUAUUCUACAGUGAUGGUGCUAAUCAUGUAUACGAUGCUAUGUCUUUCUUUCUUUUGUGUUGGAAUGAUGCCUAUAUAAGUGUGUCCUAUUGCCGCUACGAGUUUGUAUCUCGCAGUUUUUUUAUGGCAAAAUGAAUUCAGUUAGUACAAAAUUUGUUAUCUCUUAUUACAAACAUCUCUUCAAAUCUAGCCUAUCUGGAAGUAACACUUGAUCAAUUUCAUCCUUAUCAGGUUUAUGUCAGUCGUCGGAGGAUAUUUGUAUAAUUUCUUAUGUUCUGUCACAUAUUACAGCAUAGUGAUGAGAGAAUGCCACAAGUUACAACAUUGUGGAAAUGUGGUACUUUUUUUGAAAAGAAGGAAAUGUGUUACUACCUUUGCAAGUGUAGAAUGUUCAAGAUCAACAGAAUUAUGCAUUGUUAGAUAAUUGAUGAAAACCAUAUUCCGGUCGAUACAUCGGAAGGUCUACAAAGUUGUUGAUAUCAAAUAGACUGUCUACCAUGCCAUAUCAGUUGGAAUCUUGGCACCAACGCAUGUAUUUUCAUAAGGUGUAAUGAGUUGAUUGCUUGUCACUGGUGUUAAUCCAGACAUCAGAACUGGAAUCAAGUAAUUUUUUUAUAAGGGUCAAGGAAAUUUUUGGUGAAAUAAAAACACUUUAUUCGCUUUUAUGAAAAACAAUUCUCAUGUGCAUCUGCUUGCAAUCAAACUGAUGAAAUGAAAAAAAUUAUUCGCUUUUAAAAAUAUCUAUAGACUAAGAAGCCUUACAAAUUAAAAAAUAGUGUAUAUGCUCCAAGUUGUUUUGUAAAAUUGGUUGCAUAACCUCAAAUUUGCUAGACUAUCGUGUUGUAUGUCCUUUUCGGGCUUGCGGCCAAUUUGGGACUGUAGCUCAUCAGAGAACUAGAACGUUACACCAUAAGAUAAAUUUGGAAUCCAAGUUCUUGUCAUCAUAAUUGGCUGACUUUUGUAACACGUGAAUAAAUUACGACUCCUUAUAAUGAUACAGUAUGGACGACAAGUCUGAAAUUCUUUACUUGGUUUCAGAGCAGCCAAGGCGUCAGUCGGUCAUCUCUGGCCGCCCAGUUAUAUACAGAUUGUUGACUCGGUCCUAGUGUGCUAACUAACUACUUUUUUUAUUUAAAGGUUGGUGUGCUAACUGUUUCCGUACUACAAGACUUGGGUCAUUUGCACACUGCCAGUUAUGCGUCUCUUGAGUUGGUCAGUGAUUUUGUGCGUCAGAGUAUGCGUGCUGGUCACAAGUCAGAUAUGGCUAGGGUCAUGACUCAUGAGCUCAUUCCUUAGCCGUUGAAUUCUAGUUUGCAGAUUCCAGUUUGUUUCAAAAUUAACUAGCACAGGGACAAGGCUUCAGACUUGAGACGUCUAUAUAAACUUGCCUCUUCAACAUCUGUAUCACCAGCUCAUCACAACAAGCUUAACUCAUUUGCAUACACAACGAAUUCCAAUAAUAGAACCACUUCACAGCAAAAGUGACAUGGCGUCUCAGGCCAUCGAGAGCAACCGUCCUGGCGCAGAGGUCUUCAAUGGAGACGCCAUCUGCAGGAAGAAAUCCGUCGACCUGCUGGAAGAGCUCGGCCUCCCCAAGGGUCUCCUGCCAAUGGAGGACAUCCAGGAGUUUGGGUACAACCGCACCACGGGGUUCAUGUGGCUGGUGCAAGGGAAGAAGAAGGUGGAGCACACCUUCAAGAAGAUCAAGCAGACCGUGUCCUAUGCUGCCGAGGUGACAGCGUUCGCCGAGAAGGGCAAGCUGCGGAAGAUCACCGGUGUCAAGACCAAGGAGCUGAUGCUUUGGCUCAGUGUAGUUGAGGUCUAUGUUCCUGAGGCCUCGCCGGAGAAGGUCACCUUCAAGACUGGCACUGGCCUCUCCGACAGCUUUGACGCCACUGCCUUUGCACUCGGGGAGUAAAUAUGGAUGCUGAGUUUUAUUAGUUUAUUUAAUCCUUACGAGGAUUACGUACGUGCAAGGAUUGUCUUAAUCGUUUGUGCCAAGUUCAAUGGCUUGCCUGUAAGAUGUUACUGCUCCAUUGUCUGUCAUAAUCAAUAACAUCUGCUUGCAAUGA